GACGAACGCUGGCGGCGUGCCUAACACAUGCAAGUCGAGCGGAGUCGAUCGACGGAAGCCUUCGGGCGGAAGAUGGUUGACUUAGCGGCGGAUGGGUGAGUAACGCGUGGGCAACCUGCCUCGAAGACCGGGAUAACAGCCCGAAAGGGCUGCUAAUACCGGAUGUGGUCAAGGAUCCGCAUGGAUUUUUGAUUAAAGGGGAAACCCGUUUCGAGAUGGGCCCGCGUCCUAUCAGCUAGUUGGUGAGGUAAAAGCUCACCAAGGCGACGACGGGUAGCCGGCCUGAGAGGGUGACCGGCCACACUGGAACUGAGACACGGUCCAGACUCCUACGGGGGGCAGCAGUGGGGAAUCUUCCACAAUGGGCGAAAGCCUGAUGGAGCGACGCCGCGUGAGCGAAGAAGGCCUCGGUUGUAAAGCUCUGUCUGGAGGGACGAAGGAAGUGACGGUACCUCCGGAGGAAGCCACGGCUAACUACGUGCCAGCAGCCGCGGUAAAUAGCGUACU
rnacentral:rRNA from 1 species